CAGUCGCCGCGGGAAUACGUAGGUGGCAAGCGUUGUCCGGAAUUAUUGGGCGUAAAGGGCUCGCAGGCGGUUUCUUAAGUCUGAUGUGAAAGCCCUCGGCUCAACCGGGGGGGGUCAUUGGAAACUGGGAAACUUGAGUGCAGAAGAGGAGAGUGGAAUUCCACGUGUAGCGGUGAAAUGCGUAGAGAUGUGGAGGAACACCAGUGGCGAAGGCGACUCUCUGGUCUGUAACUGACGCUGAGGAGCGAAAGCGUGGGGAGCGAACAGGAUUAGAUACCCCCGUAGUCCCUGUCUCUUAUAC
rnacentral:rRNA from 1 species